GUGGCUAUAGCUCAGCUGGUUAGAGCAUCGGUUUGUGGUACCGAGGGUCGUGGGUUCGAGCCCCAUUAGCCACCCA
rnacentral:tRNA from 1 species